rnacentral:lncRNA from 1 species
UAAUUAGUAAUAGCUAAGCAUUGGUAGGUUUUGUCCUUACGUUUAUUGCCAUUCCCCCAUUAUCCCUAUCAACUAUGGAUACUCAAACACGACACUACACCUUACAACAUGAAAAUUUUGGAAGAAAUUGACAUCGGGAGAAUUUUAUUGUUGCAACAACUAGUUACUGCUGCAGAGGUAAGUAACCACGGAAUUAGUUUGCGAUAAAUCAUAUCAAGGAAGGCCAAUUUCCCCCAUUUGUCAUCCAACUCUAAUAAUUCUCUCACUCCUUACUGCAAAAUCUCCUCCACCGAUGACUUUAAGGUAAUUUUUUCAUCCUUACUACUCACGUUAUGUAUUUUUAUUUUGUAGAAUUAUAGAGUCAUGUUAGAAUUUAGAAAUUUAGAGGUGAUUUUUGUGAAACUCCUUGUACUUGAACUUGGUGGUGUUUAUCAACAAAAUAAAGAACAUGCUUCAAUCUCUUAUAUCUACAAAGAUCCUAUAGCAUUCGAGGCAUAAUAAUAAUGUAUCAAAUGGCUGAAAUUUUCAAUGGGAGGGUAAUAGGUGUAGUGUCAUCUUCUCCAAUGAAAUUAACUGAUUUGGGGGUGAAAUUUGGUUUUGUACAUUCUCAUUUUUGUGUAAAAAAGUUUAUGGGGACUUUAAUAAGACCGAUAAUAAUAUUGAACUUGAGAAUAUGAUGAAAGGACAAAAUCCACCAUAAUAGGGGAGAUUGGCGGGUUGAAUAAUGUGAAUCAUUGCAGUGGUACCAUUGCAAAAACUAGUUAACCACCAAUGCCGUACUAGGCAGAAGCUUUUUAGUUUUUUAUUUUUCUAUAAUUUUGAAUUUUCUACCCUCCAUCAGUACCCUGUCUUUAUUUCAACAUGUUUUUGUAUUUUGUAGGAUCAUCAUAGCCUAACAACUCCCCCACUACUAAAGGUUUCUGGACAAUGCUAACCACACCCGAUAUUUUCUUUUCUUAGGAUUAUAAUUCACUUUCUUUGUUCACUUCUUUUCUUUUAUUUCUUUUUCUUGCAACUUACGUGUAAUUCAUUCCUUUGUUGUAUUCUUUCUUCUUCUACAUAUUUGUUUUCAUCACCUAGGUACAUUGGGUAUUUUACUCACAUUUCGUGGCUCCAAACUUCCUUCCAUCACUUUCACCGCCCCCAACUUAAGCUUUAAGGCACAAGUUGAAUUUUCAAGUUCAAGGAGGAUACAAUUCAAAAUAGGGAUAAAAAAAUGGAGCACGACUUGUAAUGAGUUUGCCAAAGAAAGAUCUAAAGGCUCAAAGUGGGUACUAGGGAUUAUAAUUAUGCACGGGUAGGAUUUUUUAUGCUAGAGUGGGUUCUAAAAUCAUAAAGAUGGCCUAAGAUCAUUUAUCCAACCAUAUACAAUCAAAAUUAGUUUUGAAAAACUAAUGGGGCAAGUUCUCGAUAACACAAGUAUACAAGAGAUGAAUAUCCCCAACUCACCACACAUGGCAUACAGAAUUCAACAAGGUGCUAAGAUAUACCUCCCAAGAGAAAAAAAUGGAACAUCUAUUUCCACUCAUAAUUCAAAAAUUUAUGGAGCGACAAAGAGAAAAAGAUUUGCUGCAACAUUACUCACGUCCAUGCCCCUUGAUUUUACAAUAAUUUUGGAUGGUAGGAGUUUCUUGUUUUGGAAUAGCACUACAAAAAAUUUGCUAAACUGUGGUUAUAACCAAAGCCUUAGUCUCUCAUCUUGGUUCAAACUGGGCUAAUUACCCAUAUGGUUACUCAGACAUCACCAAUGGUGUACAAAGUUACCCCAACUACUACAAAAUAAAAUGCCACAGGUACUCAGACUUCCAUUUAAUUAUUGAAUCAUAGGGCAAGGUUCAUUCAUAGCUACGAGAUUCAACUUAUCCUCACUACACCGCCAAAUCAAAUAAUUGAAGUGCCCUAACUGAAGUAAUUUUAAAAUUUAAAAAGAAAAAAUGAUGAGAAAGGCUUUCUUGGAUAGUAGGCAUUGGAGGGGUCUGAUGCCGCGAUACCAAAAAUUGGUCUUCGAUCACUGUAAUUGAGACAAAAAUCCUCUGUUUUUGCUCUAUUUUUUAUUUCCUGUGCAACUAUCAAUUUUCCAGCUCUGUUUUUUACCCUAUUUUUUAAAAAACACUAUUUAUGCUAAAGGCCUACGAAGCAUAAAAACAAACCAAAAAAAUGACUUAAGGAUGGGUUGCAUCCCAUCAAGCACCUAAUUUAAUGUCGCAGCAUAACUCUCUCCUUUUACCAUAUAGCAUCUUUGAAGUUAACACACUUCGCCUUGGCCACCACGUUGAUUUUCUCAGUAAUGCUUCACCCAUUGAACAUUGACUAUGAAUUUCUUCCCUUUAUUAUCUUCCAACACAACUUAAAAACUUGAGUAUACUUUAGAGAUAACAAAUGGUCAUAACAAUUUUGAGCAGAGGUUCCCCGCGAAGAGUUUUAAGCGAGAGUUGUAGAGGAGUACAUGCUCUCCCUAAUGGAAUUCUCUCUGCAAUAUUCUAGCAUCAUGACAUUUUUUCAUUUUCUCCCUAUACAAUGCUGCACUCUCAUAUGCCUUUAGUUGGAACUCUUCCAUCUCAUGGAGUUUUGUCACCCGUGCCUCGGAUGCUUCUCCCUACUUUAUGUUUAAUCUCUUUAAAGUUCACAAAACCUUAUGCUUAAGUUGAAUGAGUAAUUGGAAUACCUUACCAAUAACAAAGUAAUUGGGAGACAUACCUAUUUGGGUUUUGUAGGUUGUUCUAUAGGCCUAAAGGGCUUUAUCAAGUUGACUUGCCCAAUUUGUUCGGCCUAUAUUUACCGUCUUUUCGAGUAUGGAUUUGAUUUCACAAUUCAAUGCCUCCAAUUGAACACUCAUUUGGGGGUGGUAUGGGGUGGUGACUUUGUUCUUAACUCGAUACUUGUCAAGAAGAUCACCAAACAUAAGAUUGCAAAAAUACAAAUCGUUAUUACUAAUAAUGGCCUAAUGGGUGUCGAACCUGGUGAAAAUAUUAUUUUUUAGGAAUAAGGUCACACAUUUUCUAUCAUUAGUUAGGAGUGAGAUGGAUUUCACCCAUUUAGAAACAUAGUCGGCUGCCACGAAAAUGUACUUAUUUCCAAAAGAACUCACAAAAAGACCUAUGAAAUCGAUUCCCCAUACAUCAAAGAGUUGCACCUCCAAGUUAGGAUUGAGAUACAUGUCAUGCCUUAUUGAAAUACCAAUAUACAUUUUACAAUUGUGACAAGAUUUAACCCAUUCAAUGAUGUCCCUAUGCAUGGAAGGCUAAAAGAAUCCACAUUGGAGAAUCUUGGUGGUAGUUUGGAUUCCUCCGUGAUGACUGCUGUAAGGUGAUGAGUGACAAGCCUCCAAGAUGUCAUUUUUUUCAAAAUUGAUGACACACUGUCUAAUAAAUCCAUGGGCACACAUUAUAAAUAAAAAUGGAUCAUCCCAAAAAUAUCGCUUUGCCUCAAAUUAAAAUUAUUUCUUUUGAUGCUAACUCAGUCCCCCGGGGAGUACACAACUUGAUACAUAAUUGGCAAAAUUAGUAUAUCAUGGUAUGCUAUUCCCCUCGAUGAACAUGAUCAAUUCAUUGGGGAAAGAAUCAUAAAUUUCUAUUUCCCAAUGCUUUUUAUUAUUGCCUUCGAGUCGAGAGAGAUGAUUGGCCACUUAAUUCUCACACCCUUUUCAGUCUUUCACCUCAAAGUGGAACUCUUGUAAUAACCAAAUCCACUUGAUUAAGUGCGACUUUGCUUAUUUUUUUCCGUGAGAUACUUUGUAUGUACCAUCACCUUCAUGCCUGAGAAAUAGGCCUAAAACUUUUCGAAGGAAAAAAUAACUACCAACGAUUCUUGCUCGUUGAUGGUGUAGUUGCGUUGGGUGUCAUUAAAGGUUUUUCUAGCUGAGUAGAUAGGAUGAAAAACAUGUCUUUUCACUUUCCUAGCACCGUACCCAAUGUAAUACCACUUCUAUUGUAAAUUACCUCAAAUGGAGAUGACCAAUUCGGAUCCACAAUAAUAGGGGCUGAAAUGAGCAAUUCCUUUAGAAUCUCGAAGUCUUUGAAACAUGCGUCAUCAAAGUUGAAUUUAUAUUAUUUUUCAAGAAGUUUACACAUAGCGUUCCCUAUUUUAGAAAAUCCUUGAUGAAACGAUAAUAUAUCCAUACAUGGCCAAGGAAACUUCAAAUACCUUUUACCGAAUGGGGGGUGGGAGCUUGGAAAUUACCUCAACCUUAGAUUAAUAAACUUGAAUGCCUUUUCCUAAGAUCUUGUGGACAAAUAAAUUCCUUCUUUGAUCAUGAAGUGGCACUUUUCCCAAUUCAAGAAAAGGUUUUUUUCCACGCACCUUUCAAGUGUUGGAGGCAUGACUUGAAAGAAUUACCCAAUAUCGAGAAGUCAUCCAUAAAUACUUCCAUGGAGUAUUCAUCCAUAUCAGCAAAUAUUAACAACAAGCAAUGUUGAAAGGUUAUCGAGGCAUUAUACAACCCAAAGGCCAUUCUCUUUAAUGCAAAGGUACCAUAUGGGCAAGUCAAAGUUGCCUUUUCUUGGUCCUCUAGGGUGAUACAAAUUUGAUUGUAUCCCGAGUACUCAUCAAAAAAUAAGUACCACCCUCUACAGGCAAGCCUAUAUAGCAUUUAAUCGAUGAACAACUUUGGAAAAUGGUCCGUCUCAGUCCAUGGUUUAAUUUUUGAUAGUCCAUACACAUUCUCCAUCUGGUGACCGGUCGGAUGGGGUUAAGAUCCAUUUUUUUCAAUCUAGACUACCGUGAAACCAACCUUAUUUGGAACAUAUUGUAAUGGACUCACCCUUAAGCUAUUUUAUUGUAACAUCCCAUAUUCAAGUACGUGUAUUGGUCUUAUUUAUAUAGAAUUAAUUUUUUUUAUUUAAUUUAUACCGGAAUUUGCCCAUCAAUGGUUUCAUGUGAAGGUUAUUGAAUAAGAUUUCCAAUGAUAUAAAGAUUUCCAAAAAUAGAUAGGUUUCGAAUAUAAUUGAGCACGUUUGAAACUAUAAAACAGUGGCCGGGAUAUUUGGAAAUAGUAAAUGUGCAGGAAAAUUUCCUGCACACAAACUACUGAGGCCAGCCGAAUUUUUGGGUCAACUUCAAAUAACCAUAACUCCUUGUACAGGACGAACUGGGUGGCCUACUUUAUAUGAAAUGAAAUCCCUUGGAAUUAUCCUUCCAACGAUAUAAAUUUCACCCAAAUCCGAUUUCGAAGAAAAGAGUUAUGGUCUAUCUACUUUAUCUUAUCAAAACAGUCCACCAAAGGACAGAUUUGACAUUAUUUAAAUUUUAAAGGCCUUUUGGUCAUUUCCUAUUAUAUUAUGGACGGGAAUAUGUGUAUAUAUACAUGUAUAUGAGUUCAAAAACUCAUUUUCAUGAUCAAUCAUUGAGGAAGAACAAACCCUAGCCAAAUUUGACCUUUAAAUUACUUUUGAUUCAACCGUAGAAAUUCCAAAGUAAUCCGAUAACUGCAUUUGUCAUCUCGAGAGCUUCGAACGACACCUAUUAUUUGUGCAAACAGGAUUGCAUAAUCAAGAGGUNNNNNNNNNNNNNNNNGGCACCUAUUAUUUAUGCAAACAGGAUUGCGUAAUCAAGAGGUGAAUUCUAAGGUAUGAAUAUUGUUUGCCUUUGUUCUCUUCCAUAUGUAUAUGUGUGAUAGAGGAUUAUAUGUAUUGGUUGUUAUUGAAAGGUGAUGAAAAUAGGGUUAUGGACUAUUUUGCAUGGUUUGGUUGUAUUGAAUUGUGGAAGGUGGAUAUGGUAAUUGAGUUAUGGAAGGUGGAUAUGGUGAUAUACUAUUGAAUUGAUGAUUAUUUAUGUCUAUGGCUCAAUUUGGUUUAAUGGAUUGGUUGGAAGGAUAAAUGAAUCCAAACUUGAUAUUGGAGGAUGUUGUAUGAAUAUGCAUGGCAUGUGAAUGUAAUUGGAGUAUAAGAGGGUUAAAGUGACACCCUUUAUGGUGUAAUUAAGGCUUACUACUUAACCACUAGUUUGGUGAAUUCAAAUAAUUGAAUUGUGACGUUUGGUUGCUAAUACUAGAUUGCUAUAUAUGUUCAUUGUAGAUAAGUAAUCCGAAAAGAUGGGAAGUCCAUUUGGGACUAGUAUUGAAGGUUGACAGUCAGGUAUGUAAAGCAUACUCUAUACCAUAUCUUUGGCAUGAAAGUGAACAAUUGUUUUAUUAAGAAAGUUUCCAAAGUUAUUCAAUAACAUGUGAUCCAUAAUGGUUUUGUAUGAUGUCCUACGUUACCAAUGAACUUGUUUCCACCCUACAAGAUGUCAAGAUAUUCCAAUGCUUACUUGUUUUCCAAAUCUUACAUGUUUAUUGCACUAAUGAAUGUCAGAAGGUAUCCGGUUACUCAAACAAGAUCCAUGUGCUAUUAAUGACUCCAAAACAUUUCAUUGAUAUACCAAUAAGUUCCUACUUCAUUGUUAUGGCAUUGAUGACUCCAAAACACUUCAUUGAUUUGCCAAUGAGUUCUUACUUCAUUGUUAUACCAGUGAUGGUCUAUUUAUAUUUCUCUUAUUGAUGUAUCAUUGUUUCAAAGUAUCAAAAUGCGGUGGCGACCGAAAUAACAAUCUCAAAGAUUAAUUAAACAAAGUCAUAGAAGUUCUCUCUUAUUGGGUGGUAUCCCAGGGGAAUAAUCCUAUCAUGGGUCGAUACUUAUUUAUGUUCUUAUGGGUGGUAUCCUAGGGGCAUAAGCCUAUCAUGGGUCUAUCCCAGUUGAUAUGUACUGGAGGUAGCCUAACGGUCACAGUACAGUACAUUAAUGAUUAAAAAGAUGAUAAGAACGAAGGUAAAGUAAUUGAAUAAAUACAAUGUACAGGUUUUCACAAGUUCUAGUAAGUGUGGUCCACUCCUACUAUGAUUUAUUCACUUGUUUCUGAUUUCUAUUGAGCUCCAAUAUCAUAUGUGAUUAUCUACAUCUUUAAAUACUCAGUACAUAUUUUGUACUGAUAUCCCCACGGGGUACCUUCAUUUCAUGUUGCAGGCAUAGGUACCUCAGCUCAUACAACGCACAAGUAGGAGCCAGGAUAUCCAGCUAUUUUUGGUGAGCUCCAGUUUGCUUCGGGGCUUUAUGUGUCAUAUCCAGUCACUUUU